rnacentral:ncRNA from 1 species
AUUUUUUAAAUGUUGGCUAGGUGCAGGUUGGGUGGAAUGGCCUAUAAGUUUGGUUAUUUAAAUUAAAGUUUUAUUCUUGCUUUAGAAUUUAUUAGUUGAAUGUUUAUACAUGAAAAUUAAUGUGUGGUAUGAGUUUAUCUUAAUGAUAUUUAUAUUAAUCUCAGUAUUUGGUAUUAAUAAUCAAGGUCUCUUGGAAUUAGUAAUUUGAUAUAUGAUUGGCUAAAGUUGUGCCAGCAGCCGCGGUUAGACUUAGGAUUUAAAUAAAUGUUGUUGGUAGAUAAAGUUAGUUGAAGUUUAUAGAUAUUAAAUUGUUUUAUAAAGGUGAAAUUUUAAGAAGGAAGUUGUAUUUAGUUAAGAUAAUGAAGCUUUGAAACUUAAGAUUUAAACUAGGAUUAGAUACCCUAUUAUUUUAAGUGUUAAGGUGAAUACUAGAGUAGUAAGAGUUAAGUUCUUGAAACUCAAAGAAUUUGGCGGUGUUUUAGUCUUUUCAGAGGAAUCUGUUCUGUAAUCGAUAGCACACGUUAAAUUUAACUUGGUUUUGUAUGUGUUCAGUUUGUAUACCGCCGUCAUAAGAUUAUCUUUUAAGAGAAAAAUUUUCUGGAUCUUUGGAAGAAUUAAUUGUGGAGAAGAAUAUGUCAGGUCAAGGUGCAGCUUAUAAUUAAGUAAGAAAUGGAUUACAAUAAAAGUUUAUUUAAAUGGAUAAUGUAAUGGAAAGAUAUUUGAAGGUGGAUUUGAAAGUAAUGUUGUUAGAUUAUGAUAAUGUGAUUUUAGCUCUAAGGCAUGUACACAUCGCCCGUCGCUCUCAUUAUAAGGUGAGAUAAGUCGUAACAAAGUAGAUGUACUGGAAAGUGUAUCUAGAAUGAA